rnacentral:rRNA from 1 species
AGAGUUUGAUCCUGGCUCAGAAUGAACGUUGGUAACGUGGAUUAGGCAUGCAAGUCGAGCGACAAGGGGCUUCGGCCCUGGAGGAGCGGCAAACGGGGUAGUAAGGCAUCGGAACGUACCCUCUUGUCCGGGAUACCCGCGGGAAACUGCGGUUAAUACCGGAUAAUCCCGAAAGGGCAAAGGUCUGCCGCGGGAGGAGCGGCCGAUGUGAUAUCAGCUUGUUGGUGUGGUAAUGGCGCACCAAGGCUUAGACGUCUAGGGGGUGUGAGAGCAUGGCCCCCACCACUGGGACUGAGAUACUGCCCAGACACCUACGGGUGGCCGCAGUCGAGAAUCUUCGGCAAUGGGCGAAAGCCUGACCGAGCGACGCUACGUGCGGGAUGAAGGCCCUUGGGUUGUAAACCGCUGUCAGAGGGGAUGAAAGCGCAAGCUUGACGGAGCCUCAGAGGAAGCGCGGGCUAAGUUCGUGCCAGCAGCCGCGGUAAUACGAACUGCGCAAACGUUAUUCGGAAUCACUGGGCUUACAGGGUGCGUAGGCGGCCAGUCAGGUCCGAUGUGAAAUCCCACGGCUCAACCGUGGAACGGCAUUGGAAACCGAUUGGCUUGAGUGGGCUAGAGGUGCACGGAACUUCCGGUGGAGCGGUGAAAUGUGUUGAGAUCGGAAGGAACACCAGAGGCGAAAGCGGUGCACUGGAGCUUG